UACGUAGGGUCCGAGCGUUGUCCGGAGUUACUGGGCGUAAAGCGCGCGCAGGCGGCGGUGUUGGCCCGGCGUGAAAGCCCCCGGCUCAACCGGGGAGAGUCGUCGGGGACCGCACCGCUUGAGGGCGGUAGGGGCUGGUGGAAUGCCUGGUGUAGUGGUGAAAUGCGUAGAGAUUAGGCAGAACACCUGGGGCGAAGGCGGCCAGCUGGGCCGUCCCUGACGCUGAGGCGCGAAGGCGUGGGGAGCGAACGGGG
rnacentral:rRNA from 1 species